rnacentral:rRNA from 1 species
AAAUGGUACCGUAACUUCGGGAGAAGGUACGCUCUCGACGGUGAAGUCCCUCGCGGAUGGAGCUAUUGAGAGUCGCAGAUACCAGGUGGCUGCAACUGUUUAUUAAAAAACACAGCACUGUGCAAAAAUCGUAAGAUGACGUAUACGGUGUGACGCCUGCCCGGUGCCGGAAGGUUAAUUGAUGGGGUUAGACUUCGGUCGAAGCUCUUGAUCGAAGCCCCGGUAAACGGCG